rnacentral:rRNA from 1 species
AUCGAACGCUGGCGGCAUGCCUAAUACAUGCAAGUCGAACGAGUGGCGGACGGGCGUGUAAUGUAUGGGCAACUGCCUGAUGUAGGGGGCUAACUACUGGAAACGGUAGCUAAAACUGCAUAACAUCAUUUGUGCUCAGAUGGUUUUAGUUGGUUGGUGGGGUAACGGCUCACCAAGGCGACGAUCCCUAGCCGGUCUGAGAGGAUGACCGGCCAGACUGGAACUGAGACACGGUCCAGACUCCUACGGGAGGCCGCAGUGGGGAAUAUUGGACAAUGGGCGCAAGCCUGAUGCAGCAAUGCCGCGUGUAUGAAGAAGGCCUUCGGGUUGUAAAGUACUUUCAGCGGGGAGGCGUUACCCGCAGAAGAAGCACCGGCUAACUCCGUGCCAGCCGCCGCGGUAAUAC